CCUAAACCUCUUGAUCCUAUUGAAAACACUAUGUCUCCAAAAAGAAAGUUGGACAAUGAGGCCAUGAAGGAAGCAGAACGUUUGAACACAUAUGACUUGAUUGCUCCACCUAUACUUCGUGCCAUUUUGGAUGAAGAAAGACACAGCAGACCACUACCUGUGCCACCAUCACAGAGUAAUCAAUGGGACCCUGUCAUCAGAAGACCACUUACACCAGAAACACAACCUCAGAACUCGGAGAACACAG